AGAGCGCGUAGGCGGGGUAGUAAGUCAGAUGUGAAAUCCUAUGGCUUAACCAUAGAACUGCAUUUGAAACUACUACUCUAGAGUAUGGGAGAGGUAGGUGGAAUUCUUGGUGUAGGGGUAAAAUCCGUAGAGAUCAAGAGGAAUACUCAUUGCGAAGGCGACCUGCUGGAACAUUACUGACGCUGAUGCGCGAAAGCGUGGGGAGCAAACAGGAUUAGAUACCCUGGUAGUCCACGCCCUAAACGAUGAAUGCUAGUUGUUGUGGAGCUUGUCUCUGCAGUAAUGCAGCUAACGCAUUAAGCAUUCCGCCUGGGGAGUACGGUCGCAAGAUUAAAACUCAAAGGAAUAGACGGGGACCCGCACAAGCGGUGGAGCAUGUGGUUUAAUUCGAAGAUACGCGAAGAACCUUACCUAGGCUUGACAUUGAUAGAAUCUGCUA
rnacentral:rRNA from 1 species